rnacentral:rRNA from 1 species
CCUACGGGAGGCAGCAGUGAGGGAUAUUGGUCAAUGGGGGAAACCCUGAACCAGCAACGCCGCGUGAGGGAAGACGGUUCUCGGAUUGUAAACCUCUGUCCUUUGUGAAGUUACUGACGUUAGCAGAGGAGGAAGCUCCGGCUAACUACGUUCCAGCAGCCGCGGUAAUACGUAGGGAGCAAGCGUUGUCCGGAUUUACUGGGGGUAAAGGGUGCGUAGGCGGGCUUGCAAGUCAGAAGUGAAAUCUAUGGGCUUAACCCAUAAACUGCUUUUGAAACUGUAAGUCUUGAGUGAAGUAGAGGUAGGCGGAAUUCCCGGUGUAGCGGUGAAAUGCGUAGAGAUUGGGAGGAACACCAGUGGCGAAGGCAGCCUGCUGGGCUUUAACUGACGCUGAGGCACGAAAGCGUGGGUAGCAAACAGGAUUAGAGACCCUAGUAGUC